UGCUUACAAUUGCACCCGGGCAAUGCUUCCAAUUUAUUGUGAUCGCCGCUGACUAGUUUUCCCUAUCCAUACUGGUUGCCGGCAGUUACAGCAUCAGUUUUUGAAUUAGUAAAACUUCAUUAUGCACGUUUGUCUUGGGAAGUAAGUCGAUUAAUGCGUUACGAAAAGAAACAGUUUUCGUCGAGGCCGAAUCGGGCGAGGCUUUUAAGACGCGUGCUACCAUCUACAGGCAUAGUGAAAUAGUGUUUGUUGGCAUUCAGUCAGGAGUAAUAACUGGUUUUGAUUGUAUAUACAGUAGAACCCGCUUAAGACGAUCACGCUUAAAACUAUUUCUCGCAUAAUACGUAAUUUUACGGCAGUCCCUACAACAUGAGACAUGUUUUCAUACAUUUCCUAACGCGACAAAUAAAUUGCAACAGAUAGAUCAGGAUGUCAUAAAGAUCCUUAAACAAGAUUGCAGGACAAGACUAAUAAAUGAUAUCUUAAAGAACUGAAAGCAAACGACCCUUGACAUGGUGCGAUUCUUAACUGAAAAUUUUGAGACACACUGCUAAUAGUCAAAUUUAAUUGAAAAUUUCUUAAUUGCUAAUGCCUCAAAAUCAUACCAGAUACCAUAAAUUUGUCAUACCAGAAUAAGUGGUUACUUUAAGUAGCAUAAUUAGGUAGUCUUUACACCAAAUACAAUAAUUUUUAUAACUAUGUAUGUGUUCAAUCUUGCCAUUACCAUGCAGGUAGUUUGAAAAAACCACAUCAGAAUUGUGUCAAUCGUCAAUCAAUGUCAGAUGUCGGUUUGACAACUGAUGCAAGCGUCAUCUCUGGAAGACGCCAUCUUGGACUACUUUGCCACUCUCAUAUUGCAUCAUCCAGCCGUGCUGUGUGCAUGUCGUACCUGUACGCGAAUUUCUUUCAUUCGGCCGUGCCUAAAAAACAAAUUCGCACCGUGUGCGCGCGUUAACUAUAAGAAAACGUUUUUCUUGCAAGAACAAUUUGUGUGUUUGUGGGUGCCUACCUCCUCAAGAAAGAACUACUCCAAAUCGCGGGCUCUCCUUGGUCUUGCCGUGCUGCCAUUGGGGGCGAGUGAUGCAAGGUUGGUGUGGAUCACAAAUUACUUGUUUGGUUUUGGCAGAAAUUAGCAAACAUACAUACAUACAUACAAAAUACAAAUAAAUACAGUCCACUCAUCACACAUAUAACCAGCGUAACAUUAAAUUAGUGCAUAAAACCGCACAAUUUUUUGGCCUUCGACCCGGUUGUAGGUACUUUAUAUCUUACUUCAUAAUUUUUAUUAAUCAUUCAUCAUGCCACCUAAAAAAGAUCUAGAACAGGUUGAUACACCGAUUGCAUUAUCCGUCCUAAUAAAACGGAAAGAACGGUGCUUUGAACAAAUGCAAGCGGUGUACGAUCUAUCAAAAACAAUCAGUGACAAUGAAAUGAAAGAUUUAUUCUUAUUACGAGUAAAAGAAAUUGACCACUUAAGGUCAAACUUUGAACAUAUUAUAUUUGAAAUUUACGAACAAGAACUGAAAAACGAUCAAUCGUCGCGUUUAAGUAAUUCGGAUUUAAAAAACUUCGACGAAUUAUACUAUAAAUCAAAACUAGUUGCUGCAUCAUGUGAACCUUAUGUCAAUAAAAAUAAGGUCGAGAAUUCUUUAUCAGAGUCUCGAACGAAACUUCCAGAAAUAAAACUAUUUUGCUUUGACGGUGAUAUAGAAAAUUUUGCUACCUUUUACGAAACAUUCUGUUCAAUGGUUCAUAAUAAGGCGAAUAUACCUAAUAUAGAUAAAUUCCAUUAUUUAUUAUCGUGUACGACGGGUCCUGCGUUAAAUAUCGUUAAAAGUGUUCCGAUUACCGGUCAGAAUUAUGACGUAGUUUGGAAUAGUUUACUUUGCAAGUACCAAAAUCCUCGGUUGAUAGUAAGUAGAUAUCUGGAUAAAAUGCUUAGUUUUUCGCAGUUAACUAAAGAAUCCUCCGUACAUUUAAAUACAUUUAUAGAACAUUUUGAUCAUUCGUAUAAGGCUAUUCAAGCAUUAAAAAUUGAUAAUUUAGGUAGUUUCAUUUUGUUUCACAUCGCAUUAAAGGCUCUUGAUCCACAUACACGAAAAUCGUUUGAAGAACAUACGGAUCAAGGUUCGAUUCCUAGUUUUGAAAAUUUGAUGUCGUUUAUCCAUAAUCACAUUAAAGUGUUGGAUAAUUGUGAAUCAGUUUCAAGGUCAAGUACAACCCCUGUUCAAAAUAAACCUCAACCGAAAAAUGUCAAACAGGUAAAAUCUGAUAAAAGUUCUUUUAAAAAUUUCUCUCAUGUGUCUUCGUCGAAACAAAUUAAUUGUUUACACUGCGGGGAAAACCACAUGAUAUACAGAUGCAGUCAGUUUCGUAAACUGACCAGUGCUGAGCGUAUCAAGCGUGCCAUAGCAUUAAAAUUAUGUAAAAAUUGUUUAAAAAAUACGCAUUCAAAUGAAAAUGAAUGUACAAGUUCAUUCCGGUGUAUAGUUUGCUCUGAGCUUCAUCAUUUUUUAUUGCACCCGUCGGGACUCGAACCCACUACUACGCUAGCGUCUAGCACCGCGUCGAACGUGCAGCCGUGCUGCCACGCAGGCGCGACUGAACACCGUAGUGUCGUGUUAGGAACAGCGGUUGUCCGUAUACAAGACCGAUUUGGUGAGUUUCAGCCGUGCCGCGUUCUGAUUGACUCGGGCGCUCAAACGAACUUUAUAACUACACGUUGCGUUCAGCGCUUAGGGUUGUCACAACGUAAAUGUCCUUUAAAUAUUUUCGGUCUCUCUGGUGAACAUGUAAAAAAUCAAGGAAUGACGUCAUUUAUUAUAAAGCCGCGUCAUAUUGAUACACCCAGUUUUAAUAUCGAUGCCGUAGUGUUAACAAAAAUUACUUCUGAUUUACCUACGUUUGAAAUCCCGCAAAAUAUAGUAAAUAAUUAUAAUAAUUUAAUUUUAGCUGAUCCUCAGUUUUAUAAAAAGUCACAAAUAGACUUAAUUAUAGCAGGUGAUAUUUUUCCUUACGUUUAUGACGGAAAUAAAAUUAUUAUUAAUAAUGAUUUACCCGCCGCAUUGAGCAGCGUGUUUGGAUACGUUAUCUCCGGAAAGUUAACGAUUCCAUCUUCGGAUAAUGUUAAAUCUACAACGUCACUCGUGUCGUACACGAGUCAGGAUGAUCUCCUCAAUGACACUCUCAAGACGUUCUGGGAAGUGGAGUCAGCGCCGUGCGUGACACCCAUGAGUCCGCUUGAGGAAAUUGCCGAAAAACUAUAUGUAGAAAAACAUUAUCGCGAUGAAACGGGCCGCUAUAUUUCACCUCUUUUGAUCAACCCUAUACAUGAACCUUUAGGUGAUUCAUAUGAUUUAGCAUUUAACCGACUUAAACAAAUGGAGCGUCGAUUCGUGCGUUCGCCUGAUUUAAGAAGUGCGUACGUUGAUUUUAUGCGUGAAUACGAAUCAUUAGGACAUAUGGAACUGUACACGGGUACGGAACCCUCCAAAUAUAUUAUAUCUCAUCAUAGCGUAUUGCGUCCUUCAAGCAGCACAACCCCUCUUAGGGUUGUCUUCAAUGGCUCAGCUCCGACUACUAGUCGAGUUAGCUUAAAUGAUAUCCUUUUAACGGGUCGUAAAUUACUUGCAGAUAUUUUGAAAAUAAUUAUGAAUUUUAGACUUUAUGACGUAUGCUUCACUGCAGACGUAUCUAAAAUGUAUCGAGCAAUUCUUAUUGACCCAAAAGAGCGUAAAUAUCAGCAUAUUCUUUGGCGCGAAAACCCGUCGAAUCCGGUGCGUACGUACGAAUUGAAAACAAAUACCUACGGACUCCGUAGCGCACCGUACAUCGCGGUCCGCACCUUGAAUCAACUCGCGUCAGACAACCCGCAAUCUCGCGCAUCUGCUGUGCUUAAGCAAGGAUUUUACGUUGAUGAUUUGUUAUGGUCGUGCCAAACAAUCACCGAAGCCUGUACGUUACAGGAUGAGCUCAUGUCUCUUCUUAAGAGUGGAGGUUUUGAUCUCAGAAAGUGGGCUAGUAAUAGACCAGAUUUUCUAUCGAAACUAGAUUUAGAAAUAGUUUCAAAAAUUAAUUUUGAAGAGGAUUCACUAUCCAAUUCAUUAAAAGUUUUAGGAUUGACUUGGUUGCCUUCUGCUGACUGUUUUUCGUUCAAUUACAACUUAACGGAUAUUAAGCCUACUAAACGUUCAGUAUUGACAUUACUCGCGAGCGUAUAUGACCCAGUCGGAUUUAUAUCACCCUGUACAUUUCUUGCAAAAUGUAUAAUGCAAGAUUUGUGGAAAUUAGGGCUCGGUUGGGACGAUACAAUUCCACAAGAAACUUACGAUAAAUGGAAUCGAUUUAUUAACGAGUUGUCAACCCUAGCGGACUUAAGGAUCGAGCGUCAUUUGUUAACAUCUAACUUUUCUAACGUUCAACUGAUCGGUUUUUGUGAUGCAUCAUUACAAGGGUAUGCCGCCUGUGUUUACUUGCGCAGUACAACAGCGGACGGAGAAGUUAAAGUUCGAUUACUGACCAGCAAAUCAAAGGUUGCUCCUCUAAAACCUGUACUGUCAAUUCCAAGACUUGAAUUAAUGGCAGCCGUGCUGCUAGCCAAGGUUUUGAAAUUUAUAAUAAAAAACCUAACUGAUUUUAAAUAUACAAUCGUCGCUCUCAGCGACUCAAGUGUCGUUUUGUCAUGGCUACAAACGCCACCUUAUCAAUUAAAGACUUUUGUCUCUAAUAGGGUCAGUGAGAUUAUUGAUGUAAUUCCACCGAACCGCUGGUAUCACAUAAGCAGUGAAAAUAAUGCCGCAGACCUGUGCUCACGUGGCGCGCUGCCUAGCCAACUUCUCAUUGUACAGAAUACGUGGUUUCAUGGACAGGAGUGGUUGUAUAACGAUCCCAAUGACUGGCCCACCAGUACAUUUUUUGUAAAAAAUUUAAAAUCUAUUCCUGAGUUAAAGUCCAACGUAGAUACAUUCACAUUAGUAUCAAGUGAAAAUAAAGCUUUACUUAACGAUCUUGAGGAAACCUUCGAUAAAUUUUCUUCAUUUAACAAACUGCAACGCGUUCUAGCUUGGUGCCACCGGUUCAUACAUAACCUAAAGUCUAAUUCAAAUCGAAUUUCCGGUAAUUUAAAUUCUAAUGAACUACAACAAAGCCGUGACACGAUCGUGCGUGUUAUUCAAAGUAAUCAUUUUAGUACCGAAAUUGAUACGUUGAAUAAAAAGGGAUACGUAGCUUCACUACGUAAACUUUCACCCUUCGUUGAUCCUAAUGGUUUUCUCAGGGUGGGGGGUAGGAUUUCACAAGCCGACCUUCCAUACAGUACGAAACAUCCAUUGCUGCUUCCUAAAAAAUGUAAAACUGCAACUUCACUAAUUGAAUAUUUUCACAAAGUGUAUUUACACUCAGGUCCUCGCACGUUGCAAGGAAUUUUAUGUAAAACUUAUUGGAUAAUAAAUGCUCGUAGCAUUAUUCGCUCAGUAUUAUCAAAAUGCGCUCAGUGUUUUAAAUUUAAUCCAAAUAUUAUUCAGCCCUCAAUGGCUACGUUACCCGCUUCUCGGUUAAAACCUGGCAAAGUGUUUGACCAUGUCGGUUGUGAUAUAGGAGGUCCCUUUUUGGUAAAAGAAAGCCCGCGCCGUAAUGCUAAAGGUUAUAAGGCUUACCUAUGUCUUUUUGUGUGUUUUACUACCAAAGCCGUGCAUCUGGAAGUAAUAACAGACCUGUCAUGUGAUACCUUUUUGGCAGCCUUAGAUCGCCUAACGGCACGCAAAGGUCUUUGCCGGACUUUGCAAACUGAUUGCGGAAGUAACUUUUUAGCAGCUGGUAAGCAUUUAAAGGAAAUCGGUAAUUUCUUUCGAGAUAAAAAUAACCAUAGUAAAAUCUUUGACGGACUAGCGUCGCGCAGUAUUGAAUGGCGUCUAAAUCCGCCAAACGCAGCUUCUAUGGGAGGUCUCUGGGAAGCUGGCAUUAAAUCAGCCAAACAUCAUUUGUAUCGAACAAUUGGCAACCGAAUCCUUACAUUUGAAGAACUUACCACAAUAUUUUGUAAAAUCGAAGCGAUAAUGAAUUCUAGACCAUUGUGUUCGUUGUCCAACAAUCCGAAUGAGUUUGACGUACUUACCGCAGGACAUUUCCUAAUAGGUCAAAGUCUUCUUGCUGUCCCCGAAUAUGAUGUUGAGGACGUUCCUUUGAACAGACUGUCUCGGUGGCAAGCAAUUCAAAAAAUUACGCAAUCUUUCUGGAAGCGUUGGUCGGAUGACUACCUCCACACUCUUCAACAGAGAGAGAAAUGGUUCACUUCAAAACCUAACGUUAACGUAGGUGACCUAGUUCUUCUUAAAUCGAAUCUUUGUAAACCAUUGCAAUGGCCUUUAGGUAGAAUAGAAGAAGUGCAUCCAGGUAUUGAUAAAAUAGUUCGCGUAGUUACCGUUCGAACACAAAACGGGGUCUAUAAAAGACCUGUAAAUAAAAUUUGUCCUUUGCCCUAUGCAAAUUAAUAUUAAAUUUAAUUUUUAACAGUAACUCGUAGUUAUUAAGAUUAAUUUUACACUAUACAAUUACACUAACAAUAUAGUUUCGUAAACUAUUACUCAUUUAUAAUUUUCAUUUUAUUUAUUUUUCUCAUACAACAUACUUACCUACAUUUAUUUAUGGGAAAUCAUCAUGCUGAUUUCGGUGGGGGGUAUGUUCAAUCUUGCCAUUACCAUGCAGGUAGUUUGAAAAAACCACAUCAGAAUUGUGUCAAUCGUCAAUCAAUGUCAGAUGUCGGUUUGACAACUGAUGCAAGCGUCAUCUCUGGAAGACGCCAUCUUGGACUACUUUGCCACUCUCAUAUUGCAUCAUCCAGCCGUGCUGUGUGCAUGUCGUACCUGUACGCGAAUUUCUUUCAUUCGGCCGUGCCUAAAAAACAAAUUCGCACCGUGUGCGCGCGUUAACUAUAAGAAAACGUUUUUCUUGCAAGAACAAUUUGUGUGUUUGUGGGUGCCUACCUCCUCAAGAAAGAACUACUCCAAAUCGCGGGCUCUCCUUGGUCUUGCCGUGCUGCCAUUGGGGGCGAGUGAUGCAAGAGCAGCGUGGAGCUGCGCCGCCACGAAGCGACGUGCGCGGCGACGUGUCCGCUGUGCGCCGUCCGCUGCGGCUCGCGCAGCGCGCUGUCGGCGCACGCGCGCCGCUCGCACACGCGCUCGCCGCCGCUGCUGUGCGCGCAG